GCCCCCACCAUCGCUUCCCCCUUACGGCAGGUACAAAGUGAGGGAUCCUGGCCCCCGGUCCGCACCCCUGGGUGCGUGGCACGGCUCAUUGCGAAGAACGGAGGAGUCGGGAGGUUGGAAACUAGAGCCUGGCACAUGAAUGAGUGGGAUUGUGUUCUGUGAUUGGCUGCGAUGGGGGGAGACCAGGGGUGGUGCCCGCCUCUUCCCACUGCGGGGGUGGGUAAGGUGGUUAGACAGAAAAUUGUGGGGUGCUCCCCCCCUCGCCACAAGGCCCUGCCCCUCUCUGUGACCCUGCCCCUCCUCUCCCUCCCCCCAGACUCCGCCCCCUAGGGAGACUGGAAGCCGGAGCCCGAGCCGCCCCCAGCAAGCGUACAUUAGCUUCUUGGUGUAUGUAAUUGCUGAUUUAUUUCGUUAAGUAGCGCCUUACUGCUCUGGGGAUGUCGGGGAGAGGGACUUCUGCUGCUUUUCUGUUGUUGUUUUUUAAUUUCCCGCCGGAGAGCGAUUGGCUCCCGGUUGCACAAUCUGCUAAAAAACCCACUUUUGAAAGCUGCUUGCUGCAUCAUUUUUCCCUUUCGCUUUCGAGCCUCGGAGCCCCCUGCCCUCGGCAAAGCCUCCCUGUCCCGCGGCAGUCACCCAAGCUGAUGGGUUUGUAAACCCACUUUAUUAUCCAGUAACAAUAAACAAAACAAAGGCAAUUCCCUGUCGAAAACUGUGUUAAAGCUGAGAAAGGGGCUGGACCUGGAGGGAAACAGCAGCCUGGGUUGUGAACUGCAGUUACUUGGUGCACUAACAACGAACAUCCCCAGCUGUAUUUGGGCAGAGAUCUCCCAGCCUCCUGUGCCAGCGCAGGACCUGGCUAUCGGAUGUGAAGGAAAAUCUCCCCUGAGCCAUUAGCGGGACAGGGUCUAUGGCGCAUACUCAGCUCAAUGUGCUUGAUUCUAAGAAGCAUUAGUGAAGCAUUUGGUCAGCUUCUUGAGAAAGGAAUUUGCAGACUAAGUGCCCAAUCAAGAAACACUUAACUGACAAUGGACCUUGGGAGACUCCAAUCCACAUAUGAGGAGUCUUCCUGGGACGUUCAAGGUAGCAUGUGAGCAAUGGCUGCCGCCUGCAAACUGAAUCAUGGAUGGAUAUGUGACUUGUCCGUGUGACUCUAAACUCCAUCUUGCUGCUGUGAUUUUCCACAGUAAGAACAAAGUGGAGUCCUUCCACAUGGCAGAGAAUAUAAAAGGCCCUGGAAACCACUUCAUUUUGUCUUCAAUCCUGCUUCGGACUUCUGG